rfam:Corchorus capsularis cultivar CVL-1 contig07064, whole genome shotgun sequence.
GUUCCCAAUGAUGGUUACAAUUUUUAAAACCAUGCUAAUGCUGAUAAUCCAAUGAUUAAAUUCAUUCUAUGUAUUCUGAGGGAACC